AUCGCCUCUUGCUAAAAUAUAAGAGGUCCAGCCUGCCCAGUGACAAAGUUCAACGGCCGCGGUACCCUAACCGCGCGAAGGUAGCAUAAUCACUUGUUCUUUAAAUGGGGACUAGUAUCAACGGCAUCACGAGGGUCCUACUGUCUCCUCUCUCCAAUCAAUGAAACUGAUCUCUCCGUGAAGAAGCGGGGAUUUAACUAUAAGACGAGAAGACCCCAUGGAGCUUUAAACCCGACUACACCUCCACCUCUUAUACCCACAUAAUCAACGGAAUACUGUACAUCGGUUUUGGGUUGGGGUGACCACGGAGCACAAACUAACCUCCAUGAUGAAUAAGACUAACCCU
rnacentral:rRNA from 1 species